rnacentral:RNase_P_RNA from 1 species
AGUGGGACAGACGGCCGCUGCCGGACAGACGAAAGGGUCCGGGAGAGGAAAGUCCGGGCUUCACAGGGCAGGAUGCCGGAUAACGUCCGGCGGAGGUGACUCCAGGGAUAGUGCAACAGAAAUGUACCGCCCGGGGAUGGAUGCGCGUCAGCGUGUUCAUUUCCGCGGGUAAGGGUGGAAGGGCAGUGUAAGAGACUACCGCCCGUCCGGUAACGGACGGGGCAUAUGUAAACCCCAUCCGAAGCAAGACCGCACAGGAACAUAUGGCUGCCCGUCAGUUCCAGGUAGGUUGCUUGAGCCGGCUGGCAACAGCCGGUCUGGAUAGAUGGCCGUCCACGACAUAACCCGGCUUAUCGUCCCGCUUAU